ensembl:lncRNA
CCCUGUCAGGCGGUGGUCUGACUUAUGGGCCGCUGUAAACAAAGCAGAGAAAGGAGAUUGAUAGCUGGGAGUGGCAUUCUGGGACAGAAAAGCAGCAGCAGGUGUCACCAAGGGAACAUAAUAUGUGUGGAGACCUAUUUGAUCUUCUCAAGAUUCACCUGGGAACACGUGCCUAUCACCAUGAAGAUCAGUGAAAUAUAGCAGACCCCACUGAAGACCUCCAAAAUCUGUCCAAGAAUGAAAUUCAGCAGGUAAUAUAAUAUGAAUCAGAACUGACAAUAUUUACUUUCUUAAGGUGUUUUCAUAGAUUAGAUUAGCAAAAUUGCAGUUGUCUACCCAGCAGGCACACAAUGUCAUGGGUUAAAUUUUGGUUGUCAAUUCAACAUCUAAUGUCAGUAUUAAAGGGAUAGUUCACCCAAAAAUGAAAAUUUUAUGUUUAUCUGCUUACCUCCAGGACAUCCAAGAUAUAGGUGACUUUGUUUCUUCAGUAGAACACAAACAAAGAUUUUUAACUCAAACCGUUGCAGUCUGUCAGUCAUAUAAUAGCAGUCAAUGGGCUCCAUGGCUUUGAGAGUAAAAUAAACAUACACAGACAAAACCAAAUUAAACCCUGUUUAUUAAAUCAGUUUAUUGCACAGGCCGAUCAUUUUGU